GGAUGCGAUCAUACCAGCACUAAAGCACCAGAUCCCAUCAGAACUCCGAAGUUAAGCGUGCUUGGGCGAGAGUAGUACUAGGAUGGGUGACCUCCUGGGAAGUCCUCGUGUUGCAUUCC
rnacentral:rRNA from 2 species